UGCAUGGUUGUCGUCAGCUCGUGUCGUGAGAUGUUGGGUUAAGUCCCGCAACGAGCGCAACCCUCGACCUUAGUUGCCAGCAUUCAUUGGGGCACUCUAAGGUGACUGCGGCUAAAAGUCGGAGGAAGGUGGGGGAUGACGUCAAAUCAUCAUGCCCCUUAUGACCUGGGCUACACACGUGCUACAAUGGGCGGUACAAAGGGUCGCGAACCCGCAGGGGGAGCCAAUCCCAAAAAGCCGCUCUCAGUUCGGAUUGCAGGCUGCAACUCGCCUGCAUGAAGCCGGAAUCGCUAGUAAUCGCGGAUCAGCAUGCCGCGGUGAAUACGUUCCCGGGUCUU
rnacentral:rRNA from 1 species